UACGGAGGGUGCGAGCGUUGUCCGGAAUCACUGGGCGUAAAGGGCGCGUAGGCGGCGCGGAAAGUCGUCGGUGAAAGCUCGGGGCUCAACCCUGAGUCUGCCGGUGAUACUCCCGCGCUCGAGCUCACUAGAGGCAGAUGGAAUUCCGGGUGUAGCGGUGGAAUGCGUAGAUAUCAGGAGGAACACCGGUGGCGAAGGCGGUUCUCUGGGCCUGUACUGACGCUGAGGAGCGAAAGCGUGGGGAGCGAACAGG
rnacentral:rRNA from 1 species